rnacentral:rRNA from 1 species
UACGUAGGGGGCUAGCGUUGUCCGGAAUCAUUGGGCGUAAAGCGCGUGUAGGCGGCCCGGUAAGUCCGCUGUGAAAGUCGGGGGCUCAACCCUCGAAUGCCGGUGGAUACUGUCGGGCUAGAGUACGGAAGAGGCGAGUGGAAUUCCUGGUGUAGCGGUGAAAUGCGCAGAUAUCAGGAGGAACACCCAUUGCGAAGGCAGCUCGCUGGGACGUUACUGACGCUGAGACGCGAAAGCGUGGGGAGCGAACAGG